GUACACGCUGUGACUAGCAUAUCAAUAAGCGGAGGAAAAGAAACUAACAAGGAUUCCCCUAGUAACGGCGAGUGAAGCGGGAAGAGCUCAAAUUUGAAAUCUUAAAGGGUUUCCCUUUACGAAUUGUAGUUUAAAGAAGUGUUUUCUGUUGAGGUUUUGGUAAAAGUUCUUUGGAAGUAGGACAUCAUAGAGGGUGAGAAUCCCGUAUUUGACCUUUACUUUCAACUUUGUGAUACACUUUCAAAGAGUCGGAUUGUUUGGGAAUGCAGUCCAAAAUGGGUGGUAAAUUUCAUCUAAAGCUAAAUAUUGGCGAGAGACCGAUAGCGAACAAGUACCGUGAGGGAAAGAUGAAAAGAACUUUGAAAAGAGAGUUAAACAGUACGUGAAAUUGUCAAAGGGGAAGCGUUUGACACCAGUGUUGUUUUUCUGAAAAUCAAUUAAAGAACUGUUUAUGCUAAGCUGUUUAGACUUUAUCAGCUAUCUGUUUAGUUUUGAGCUUUUCUUUAAUGCACUUUUCAGUUAACAAGUCAACAUCAAUUUCUUUUGCUGUAAAAAAGCUUGAGGAAGGUGGCUUGAGAUUCGUCUUAAGUGUUUAUAGCCUCUUGCCUAUGCAGUCGGAGAGAUUGAGGUCUGCAGCGUAGAUCCUUCGGGGCUAAAUGCAUUUGUGCUAAGUUAUAGCAUUUUAUAGACAACUUGUUGACUAUGAUUUGUCUUGUAGCUUACUCGCUUAUGUUAUUUUACCUACGCUUAGGAUGUUGAAGAUGUAGCACAUCAU
rnacentral:rRNA from 1 species